GUGUUAUACGAGCAGUUUAGGGAUCUCUUCACCGAGCCCACUCUCCAACCCUUUGUGUACCUACCUCUGUUGCUUUGGCGGGCCGCGGUUCUCCGCGGCCGGCCCCCUAGCCGGGGCUGGCCUGCGCCCGCCAGAGGACCACAAAACUCCAGUCAGUGAACUUUGCUGUCUGAUAUAAAUUCAAUAAACUAAAACUUUCAACAACGGAUCUCUUGGUUCUGGCAUCGAUGAAGAACGCAGCGAAAUGCGAUAAGUAAUGUGAAUUGCAGAAUUCAGUGAAUCAUCGAAUCUUUGAACGCACAUUGCGCCCUUUGGUAUUCCGAAGGGCAUGCCUGUUCGAGCGUCAUUACACCCCUCAAGCUCUGCUUGGUAUUGGGCGGCGUCCUCUCCGGACGCGCCUCAAAGACCUCGGCGGUGGCGUCUUGCCUCAAGCGUAGUAGAAAACACCUCGCUUUGGAGGACGGGACGACCGCUCGCCGGACGAACCUUUGAAUUCAUUUUCCUAGGUUGACCUCGGAUCAGGUAGGGAUACCCGCUGAACUUAAGCAUAUCAAAGGCCGGAAGGAA
rnacentral:rRNA from 1 species